rfam:TPA: Bos taurus chromosome 8, whole genome shotgun sequence.
UCCCUGGUGGCCCAGUGGUUAGGACUCAGCACUUUCACUGCUGGGCCCAGGUUCAAUCCCUGGUUGGGGAA